rnacentral:rRNA from 1 species
UGGGGAAUUUUGCGCAAUGGGGGAAACCCUGACGCAGCAACGCCGCGUGGAGGAUGAAGUAUCUUGGUACGUAAACUCCUUUCGAUAGGGAAGAUAAUGACGGUACCUAUAGAAGAAGCCCCGGCUAACUUCGUGCCAGCAGCCGCGGUAAUACGAGGGGGGCAAGCGUUGUUCGGAAUUAUUGGGCGUAAAGGGUGCGUAGGCGGUUUGACAAGUCUUAUGUGAAAUCUUCGGGCUCAACCCGAAGUCUGCAUGAGAAACUGUUGAGCUUGAGUAUUGGAGAGGUGAGUGGAAUUUCCGGUGUAGCGGUGAAAUGCGUAGAUAUCGGAAGGAACACCUGUGGCGAAAGCGGCUCACUGGACAAUAACUGACGCUGAGGCACGAAAGCUAGGGGAGCAAACAGGAUUAGAUACCCCUGUAGUCC